UUAGUUCCUGUACAAAAUCAAAGUCUACUUAUUAAGAUUGUUCAUUAAAAUAAAAUUAAUAGUUAUUAAUUAUUACGAUUCAUCCUAGACUAUUUCCUAAGUGUUGAUCAUUAAGUACCACCUACAUCUGUUAUUUAUAUUUGUAAACAAUUACCUGGAUUUUCUACAUUAUGAAAAUAAUAAUUAUAUAAUUAGUGCGUCGUCGAAAUUUUAAAAAUUAUAUUUUAUGGUUCACCAUGCAAACGUUUUUAGAUUAUGAAGAAAAUAUUGUUGAAGAAAAACUCUGUCCCCUUUUAUUUUCAAUUAAACGGUAUCAAAUUCAAUAUGAUUUUAUGACCAAUCUUUAUACGGCGAUUAAAAAUAAAAAACAUGAAAUUUUCGAUAGUCCUACUGACAAUGUUAAGAAAUUAAGUUUCAUAAUAUUUUGUGCAGUGCGUCGGCUAUAUGGCGUUGAAGAAAGAGAAUUGGGGUAGCUAAAGAUAUUUUCUCAUGUUGGAAAAAUAAUAUAUUCUUUGGUUAUGAUUGAUACUUCUAAUAGAACAAUAUUUCAAUUGCAAAAUUCCUAGUAGAUUACAUUUUAAUAGAUUUUAAAAGAUUUAAAAUCUUUAUGGCUAUCGUAAAGCCUAACAAAACCAUUAUUAAUUUAUUUAAUGUGCAUAAAUCUCAAUUGCAAAGAGUAACACAACAUACGUAUUUUAAUUAAUUCAUAGACAAUAACAUUUAAUACUAAUUUAUCUAUUUAUAAUUU